AUUGAACGCUGGCGGCAGGCCUAACACAUGCAAGUCGAGCGGAUGAAGGGAGCUUGCGCCUGGAUUCAGCGGCGGACGGGUGAGUAAUGCCUAGGAAUCUGCCUGGUAGUGGGGGAUAACGUCCGGAAACGGGCGCUAAUACCGCAUACGUCCUGAGGGAGAAAGUGGGGGAUCUUCGGACCUCACGCUAUCAGAUGAGCCUAGGUCGGAUUAGCUAGUUGGUGGGGUAAAGGCCUACCAAGGCGACGAUCCGUAACUGGUCUGAGAGGAUGAUCAGUCACACUGGAACUGAGACACGGUCCAGACUCCUACGGGAGGCAGCAGUGGGGAAUAUUGGACAAUGGGCGCAAGCCUGAUCCAGCCAUGCCGCGUGUGUGAAGAAGGUCUUCGGAUUGUAAAGCACUUUAGGUUGGGAGGAAGGGCAGUAAGUUAAUACCUUGCUGUUUUGACGUUACCAACAGAAUAAGCACCGGCUAACUUCGUG
rnacentral:rRNA from 1 species